CCCACUCAGGGGAACCUGUCUCAUAAUCGAUGAUCCACGUUAAACCUGACCUUUUUUUGCAUUCAGCUUGUAUACCGUCGUCGUCAGGUAACUUCUAAAAAACUAAAAGUUAGCGAAAGAAUUUAUGAAUUAUAAUGUCAGAUCAGGGUGCAGCUUAUAAAAAGGGGAGGAUGGGUUACAAUUAUAAAUCUUAAUUACGGAAGAUCGUUAGAAUUAACUGAUCUGAAGGAGGACUUGAAAGUAAUUUUAAAUAUACAAAUUAUAUGAAUAAGGCUCUGAAAUGUG
rnacentral:rRNA from 1 species